CAAUUGGCAGAAUUUGAGUUCUUCUUUAGGUGCAAUUUUUUUUUAUUUCUGUUGUUGUCGCUCAAAUUUUUUCCUGUGGCCUUUUUACUGGGCUACUUUUGUUCUUCAUUUCUUGGUUUCUUGUGAAGUUUCUCCAUUUUGAGUGAAUUUUGUUUAUGAAUAUUACGGUUUGCCCAUAGUUUAGGUUGAAAGUAUUGAAAAAAAUGUGUAGGAUUUAACAAUUUGGAUGUUUUUUUUUUUUUUUUUUUUUAAAGGUACUCAUGCAUAGAUGGUGCAUGUGAUUUUUACUGAUUUAUUAUCGUCUGAUGAUUUAAUUAGCUGUGUAGGAAGAUAUUACUGAAGAAAUUGCUUGAGAUCUAGGCAGUGUACAUGAAAACAACCUAGCAUCCGGCACCCACUCCUUGCCAACUUUUUACAUCCAUGUACUAUGUUAAGUUCACAACUGUUUAUGGCCACUGUUGAUCCUUCUUUUAUACUAAUUACCUUUACUGCUACAUUGAUGGUCAUGUUCUCUAAUAUUUCUUGAGUAAAAAGAUUGAGAUAGUUGGUUUCUAUUAAUGUACAAGAGAUGUAUCAGUAUUCUUACCCUCUAUCUACAAAUAUAAUUUUGGGUAUAACACUACUAUCUUUACAUCGUUCUUAAGAGACAAGAACUGCCUAAAGGGGGAGGACAUUUUAUGAAAGUUUAAAUUGUUAUAUGUGUUUAUUGUUUACCAAUGAACUAAUAAGUUUAAUUGAGCCCCUUUUAUUAUAUGGUUGUCAUGAUUUUUUACUACACAUCUCAAUAUCAUAUGUAAAUAGAUAAUCCUUAUCAUACGGUUGUCGUGUUUUAUUGAUGUUUACCUGCUUUCAACAUGCAUGCUUCAAAGAAUGGCAACUAAAGAGCUAAUGUGGUGUUGAUAGAAAGAGAGAUGAGGCCAGUGUGAUUCAGCAACAUGUAAAUACAACAUGGUUGCUGGCUUUAGAGUUGCCUGAAGUUACUGAAACACCGUCCGUGAGGGCUAUGCGCCCUGCACGAACGAUCCAGAUGGAGCCAAUUGAAGCAGGAGCCGCUCGCAAGAUGACAUGGUACGACCUGCAGUUUAGGUGAAUAGUUGGAUGGUCAAGAUAACAGAGAUUGGAGCUUCAAGAUAAUUGUCUUCACUUCGCUCUUGGGAAGAGCUGCCAACUAUUUCCCUCCAGAUGACAUGAUGAUCAUAUCAUCCUCAGAGUAGUCAUCAGUGUUUAUCAGACGAAAUUUUGCAGGAAAAAUUGUUGAGCAGAAGAUAUGAAGGUACUCAUAAUUACCUCACUGGACUACAGGAGAUGAUGGGCUAUCCUUCCGGCUCUGCAGUUUGUGCCUAACAGAUUGACUUCCUUCGAUUUAGUUUUGUCUCAGUCGUUUCAGUUUGUCUCAAAUAUUCAUUUCUUCCUUGGGAAAAUAACGGGAAGCUUCAAGAUCAAGGGUAAUCAAUGCACAAUCUGCAACAAACAGAACUGGUAACGCAAACCAAAACAGGACAGUUAGAGAUCACAGUACUGUUGAAAAUAUUGAUGAGAUUGAAACAACAGCCCUUUCCCAAUUGAAAAAGGAAUUAGGUCUCUGAUGGGAUUGAAUUGAUAUUCCUUGUAAAUAAGAGCAACAAUAUAUUGUGCAACAUAUUUUUGGUUGUGUCUAGCUGCAAAACUCAAAUGGUUCACCUGCUUUGAACAUGUACCAGCUGAAAGUCGCAAAACGGCUUGAUUUAUUUUCCUUGCAUAGUGUUGUGAUGGACAAAGUCUUUGAUGGGAUUGAAUUGAUAUUCCUUGCAAAUAAGAGCAACGAUGUCUUGUGCAACAUCCUUUUGGUUGUGUCUAGCUGCAAAAUCAAAUGGUUCACCAACUGAAAGUCGCAAAACGGGUUGCUUUAUUUUCCUUGCACAGUGUUGUGAUGGACAAAGUCUUUGCACUAGCCAUGCCAGUACAACUGGUACUCAUGGGGAAUAAUGUACCUAUGAUGUUCUUGAAGAUGCUAAACGGUUCCUAUAAUUUGUUGGUAUUAUAUCUUAUAAGUU